AAUGGCGGCAGGCUCCACUGUGCUCGCGAGCGGGGCACGCCGGGAUAUGUAGUUUCCGGCGCCUGCCCUCCGGGGGGUCCUGUGCUGCCCACUUCACAGUGACUUGUCUCCGCCUGGUGAACUCGCGGUGUUCUGCUAAUCUUGCGGAGCCUCAAUGUGAGAUGCAGAGACUGCCCAUCAAACCACAGCCAUAUUCAUCAAGCUUUGAGCCGAUCCGGUGAAGAGAAAUGAGCACUGCAUACAUUAUUCAGAGAAAGGGACCAAAUAAAGCUUUUAAUAGGAAAUGAAAAUGUAUUUUAAAGCGUCAGUGCAAACAGCCAAUUAUUUUCAUUAUGUAUGUUUUAUCUUGCAAUGACCUCUGGUUUAUCAGUGGAAUUAAGAGAUGAGUGAUA
rnacentral:lncRNA from 1 species